rnacentral:rRNA from 1 species
GACGAACGCUGGCGGCGUGCUUAACACAUGCAAGUCGAACGGAAAGGCCCUGCUUUUGUGGGGUGCUCGAGUGGCGAACGGGUGAGUAACACGUGAGUAACCUGCCCUUGACUUUGGGAUAACUUCAGGAAACUGGGGCUAAUACCGGAUAGGAGCUCCUGCUGCAUGGUGGGGGUUGGAAAGUUUCGGCGGUUGGGGAUGGACUAGCGGCUUAUCAGCUUGUUGGUGGGGUAGUGGUUUACCAAGGCUUCGAGGGGUAGCCGGCCUGAGAGGGUGAACGGGCACAUUAGUACUGAGGUACGGCCCAGACGGCAACGGGAGGCAGCAGUCGGGAAUAUUGCAGAAUGGGGGGAAGCCUGAUGCGGCAACGCCGGGUGCGGAAUGACGUCCUACGAGUUGUAAACAGCUUUCGCCUGUGACGAGGCGGGAGUGACGGUAAUGGAUAAAGAAGCACCGGCUAACUACGUG